UCUCACCCUCCUAAAUCUCCGACACACAUCUUCAUAACCAGGAACAUCUGGAGCCCAAUAAAUCUCAUUAGAAAAGACACAUACCUCAGUGUCAGCUGGCUGUACUAGCUGACUGCCCCCUCCUGCAUGCGCUGGGCCCCAACAUGCACACACACACACACUUCAAGUCCCUAUUGUGAAGAAUAGCCUUGGACUGAAGAGGAACAUUUUACAUCCUGGAGCCACAUGAUGGCAGUAUAAGCCCUUUCAGUCAAGCAGAUGGGACUUGAGCUCUUCCAUUUACAAGUGCUGGUGUGUGACUGAUGCCAAAAUGCUGCUUAUAAUUUUACACCUCAGUCUUCAAAUAGUCUGUGUCCACUUCAGUGUUACCCUCAGUGAUACAGAGUGGCCACAAUAAAUAUGUUAAUAUCAACCAAAGUGAGAAACAGGAAGGCACAUUCAGAGUACGCCCUAGCCCAUCAAAUAUGCAUGAUGUGGAUGGAGUUGUGUGUCAGCUCGUGUGCAAGUCUAUAAGAGAAGGGAUGAUUCAGCUACAGCAGGGGUGCCUGGAAGCAGAGGAAGAUCAGAGGGACAGCGGAGUUGAACAUUUUACUCACUCCAGUUCACUCUUAACUGGAGACUGCCAAGACUGUGGAAAGAGCGCCUGCACGUGCUACAUCCUGGUUUUCUGAGGCCCCAUGCGGUGAACGGACCAACCUCAGGGCAGCAGAGAGGAUGUAGCGCAAAACCAUAGACCCAAUCGACCUGACUAAGUAUCAAUCUCUUUCAUCCUCACAUCUCCUUCAGUCAGCAGUGCCAGAAUGAAUUUUGAAGUGGGAGGACAUGCAGCUUUGGAUGAUGUAAUAGUUAUGAUUGGACCAACACUA